GGGCAGAAAAAUGCAAAAAAAGAAUCAAGAGAGUCUCACAUGACGGAGUGGAACAUGAGAGCAUCCAAGAAUAGAAGAUUAUGCAGCUCAGAAACUUGCACUGAUAAAUACCCCAAUCCACCAUCUCAAGAAUGGAAGGGAAAACAAAAGCGCCUCUGGACAUAUAGCGGCAACAGGGGCGGAGGAUGUUAGGGCUCCAACAGCAACAGAAGGAAGAGGUGGCCGCAAGCUCGGGGAGAGGGAGAGGGAGUGAGAGGAAAGCCCGAAACCGCAGUUAGAGAAAGCCCAAACCGCAGGCGAGGAACAAUAGGAAAGCAAAAUUCAGAAAUGAGAAAGUUUAAUAAAAUAAACGAUAAGAACCAUAGUCAAAAGAUAGAGUAAAUCACUAAGCCAGGUCUAUUAAGUAUAGAAAUGCAUACAAUCCACCUGGUAUAGCUUUACAAUAGGAAAGCAGAAUUCAGAAAUGAGAAAGUUUAAUAAAAUAAACGAUAAGAACCACCUGAAUAGAACCAAAAAUACAUAUAGCCACAAAACAAUAAAGAGAUUAUGGCAAAACUUAGAAAAAGAUAGAGCAAAUCACUAAGCUAGUUCUCUUAAGUAUAGGAAUAUAUCCAAUCUACGUGAAUAGAGCCAAACAUACAUAUAGCAACAAAACAAUAAAGAGAAUAUGCCAAAAAUUAGAUAAAGCUGAUUCAAAAUCUGAUCUGGAUCUACAUUGGGAAACGGGGGAGAAAGUAUUAGAAAAAGUUGAUUAAAAAUACGAUCUGGAUCGACAUCUGAAAACGGGACAGGAAGUUUUUUGUGAUCUAGCUACACAGUCUGAUGUUCAUCAUUUGAUUCAAAAUACCACAUGUUAUGUAAUACUUAAUAAUUAGUAUUACAGAAUGAAACUGAAGCUUCCCAAAGACAAUAAUGUAAGCUUGUUUUUAAAUUUUUUUAUUUGUGUACGGUUUUUUACCAUGUCAUUGAUUUCUUUUUUAUUUUUUUUAACUUAACAGAAAAUAUGCCUCAAGAAAGUUUGAGAUUAAUUAUUCACAGAUCCUCAAUAAAUGGACAAUGAAUAAAUGGUCUCUUAAAUUUACAAAUUUUUCACUUUUUUAUUUUACAUAUCAAUUUUGGUCUCUAAAAUUUACAAAAUUUUCACUUUAGUCUCCAGAUAUAAAAAUUCAAAAUUUUAAAUUUAAAUCCAGAAUUAUUCUUAAAAUUUAAAUUUUGAACUAAUUAGUAAUUAGAAUUUUUGAAUCUAAAUGUUGAUUUUAAACUUAAAUUUUUAAAAUUUAGCUUUCAAACUUAAAUUUUGUAAAUUUUGAUUUCAAAUUUAAUUUUUUUUAGUUUGAUUUUGAUAUUUGAAUUUACAUUUAAAAUUAAAAUUUUAAUUUACUGUUGCUCGAAGGGUCGAAAUCAAAGAGGCGAAAGGGCCGAAAUCAGUAAAUAUGGUUAAAUCAUAGUUUGGCCUUAUUUGCUUUAGAAUAAUGUCUAUUAAUUCAAUAAUCUUAAAAAGUGAAAAUAGCCAAAUUACAAUAAAACAAUUGUAUAGUUUUAUUACAAAACUAUCCAAUCUAUACCAGCUGAGAAGAAAGUCAUGGCUUGUGAAUCAAAGCAUGCAAAAAACAUCAUACUGUUAAGAAGUCAUGUAUAACAAUUCUUACAUCUUGAUGAUUGAAAGAUUAAAACUAUACUACCAAGCAAUUAAGAGGUAGAAAACAGCAUAGCAAGCUCAGCAAUGAAAAGCAAACACUUUGAGAAAAAAGACCACAUAACUUCACCAAAAUCUACCAGUGAAAAAAAGAAAAGCAAAAGUCAAUUUGCACUUUCAAACUAAAAGCAUAAUAUUUGCUCUCUUCAAUGUUCCACUUAUUUCGGACGCUCUUUUAGUUUCAAAAUAAGCUUCAAUAGACAAUCUUUGAGCUUCGCUUUUUAGAAAACUAACCCCUUUUUUGUGGUGGGUAAAGUAACAAAAUAUAAUAUAAAUAGUAAUACUAAUAAGAAUAAUGUACAAUUAACCAAAGCAAGUGUGAUGAAUGAACGAAAUAUCUAAAGGCAAUUAUUUUUGUCAAACAAACGAAAAGCAGACAAAAAAUAAUAAUAGCGCAAAUGAUAGAGACUCAGAUAUACUUUUGCUUAAUCAUAACGAUAUAUAACCGCAAAUCCUCUCCUCUCUUCCCAAAAUAUUUUUAAGAGUAAAUGGCUGCAACGGUUGCCUUAGGCCAUCCAAGCUGCCUUGCCAUAAAAUUCUUAGAUUAUAUGUAAAAAUUCUAAGAAAAUGAGAGGGGAUUCGAAUUUGUAUCAACCUAAAUAAGUAAGGGAGCCUCCAAAAUCAACAUUGUUCAAGGAAGAAUCAUUUUUAUCAUCAUUGCCUCUUAUACCUUAACAAUCAAAACCAAAUAUACAUGAUGCGUAAUUGAUCCAUGAGUGUCAAUUGGCAUUGAUACAUAAGAGUCAAUCGGCAGUUCAUCGAAAAAGAUGAUGAACGGGUCCAAAUCACUCAAUCAAGAAAACUUAUAAUUUUGGUUCAUCCUAAAAAUAUCAAACAAUAAAGAUUGGUUAAUAUUGGAUAAAGAUUGAGAAAACAUAAACAAUUUUGUAUUUUCAAAACAAUAAAAAAAAUUUCACAUUGUGGCUAUUCACAGUAAGUGUUCGAUUUUAGUAACGGAAAUGCAUGUAGUUUCUCUUAGUUGUGAUAGACUUAGUUUCAUUGUUAAAAUCGUAACUUUUUUUUUUCGUGUAACUUUUUUGAUGUUUAGAAAUCCAAACUUAGUUUUUUUUUGUUUCAACAAUUCGAUUUUAGUACAGGAAUCCGAUAAGUACAUGUAUUCUACAGAUUAGUUUUGAGAUUCCAUUUUUUCAAAUCUUUUAAGAUAAAAGUAAAUACGCUUUCACAUUUUCUGGUGGGUGUGAAUACAUUUUAAUCAAUUUACUCUAUUACGGUUUGUGUACACAAUGACUGAACAAAAUGAUACAACAUAAGUGUGCUUUUUAUUAGAUUUCACCUCUUGAUACUCAAAAAGGGGGGAAGUUGUAGAAUUGCUUUUGCAUUGAUGAAAGAAAUUGUAUUUACAUUUAUUUGCAAAUUCCUGUUCUGUACUCUUUGUGCUAACAUUCUCUAGGUCUGUUACUUUUCAUUUAAGAGUUGGAGAUGUUAAAUGUCCACAAAUGUAGUUAGCAUCAAAAACCCUUUCUCUAUUAGCAUUGUAAUCAGUCUCUGGUUGUUUUCCGCAUAUUGUCUUCUAUGUAGUAACUUGAUAACAAAUUCCUAUGCAGAACAAAAAUUAGAGAAAAAAAUAUACAGGCUCAGAUUUGCUACGCAAUGAAGGCUAAAAAUGGUCCGACUCCAACAUGCAGGAAAAGAACGCAGGCGAAAAAAUAAGCAGUCAUCACAUAUAGUUCUAAUUCAUAUUUAAAGAAACAGCACCGACCAGAGUUCUAAUCUAUAUUUCAAAUAAAUAGCGCCAACUGGUUACCUACAUUAUAGGCCAUUCAAAGGUUGCACACUACUCAUAUUUACCAAGCAAUGAAGGCUAAAAAUGAUCCAACUUCAACACGUAGGAAUAAGUUUAGAACAAAAAAAAACAAUUUUCCAAAAAAAAAAAGGGCAGAAAAAUGCAAAAAAAGAAUCAAGAGAGUCUCACAUGACGGAGUGGAACCUGAGAGCAUCCAAGAAUAGAAGAUUAUGCAGCUCAGAAACUUGCACUGAUAAAUACCCCAAUCCACCAUCACAAGAAUGGAAGGGAAAACAAAAGCGCCUCUGGACAUCUAGCGGCAACAGGGACGGAGGAUGGUAGGGCUCCAACAGCAACAGAAGGGAGAGGUGGCCGCAAGCUCGGGGAGAGGGAGAGGGAGUGAGAGGAAAGCCCGAAACCGCAGUUAGAGAAAGCCCAAACCGCAGGCGAGGAGCGAGACCCACAACCUCUGCCCAAGUUGAAGAAGAAACCAAACAUCUGGAAGAAGAAAAGAGAAACAACAUAGUGGGGCAGCAUCAGAGGAGAAUGAGAGAGAGUGCAGAAGAAAGGGGACUCCCACCUUGAUAUAGUGAUCAGCAUCAGUGAAGAAGGGCCGAAAUCAAAGAGGCGAAAGCGCAC
rnacentral:lncRNA from 1 species